rnacentral:lncRNA from 1 species
UCACCUUUUCCUCGGAGUAAAAAAAAAUCACGAGUUUAUCUCUUCUACUUCUAAUUUUCUGAAUGGAUAAAUUUCAUGUUUGAUUCUCAAACUAUGAGGCCGAUGACAUUUUGAUUCUCGAAUUCUAACUUAUUGUUAUUUCUAGCUCGAUAUUUUAGAACUGUUGUAAUUAAAUUUCAUAACCCAAUUUAGUUGGCUAAGCAUUCAUAUAUUGUUAAUAUAAAAGUGACAUAGCAAUAUUGUGAUUAAUAAUGUGCUAAUAAUUAAAAGGUUACAUUUUUUUAUAUCAAAGAUGUGAUAAUAUUUAGUGAACUAAAUUAGAUUGUUAAACUUAAUUGCACUAAUUUUUAAAAUUGGAAUUAGAAAAUAUAAUAAAUUAAAGUUUGAUAA